CCGAUGAGGUGGAAACGGACAGAGCUGGCGUAUCUGGCCUGCAUUCAGCCGCUGCGCGUCGGGCCCCGGUUUGCCGCACUCCAGAUUGGGAAGGUGGCUGGGCUGCUGGCGUGCUGGUGGUGCAUUUGCAGGUGGAGUGCGCCGAGGCGCCCGGUUCAGCGGCAUGAGCUCGGCUUUGAGGCCAGUCGCGCAAGCGGUCUGGUACCCGGGUCGGGGGAGUGUUGUUUGGGCUGGGUGUUCGCUGGGGCACAGGUUUCGGGCCCGGGUGGGUGCCGAGCUGGCGGUCGGCGGCGGUCGCGUGCGACACGUGCCAGCAGUCAGUUCGGUCCUGCUCGAGCUCUCUCGUGUCCGGCCUCGGUGUAAAAGCCGGUCAUCUGUCCGACCCGUCUUGAAACACGGACCAAGGAGUUUAGCGUGUGCGCGAGUCAUUGGGUGUUGAAAACCCAGAGGCGUAAUGAAAGUGAAGGUCUGCCUUGUGCAGCUGAUGUGUGAUCCUGGGCGCCGCGGCGCCCGGGCGCAACAUAGUCCCGUCCCGACUGCAUGCAGUGGGGCGGAGACAGAGCGUACGCGCUGAG
rnacentral:rRNA from 1 species